CUUAUAAAGAGAGGCUGAGGGAACGGCCCUGUGAAGCCCGGCAACCUGCCGCGUCAGGCGGUAAGGUGCCAAAUCCGGCGGGUAAACCGAGAGAUAAG
rnacentral:ncRNA from 1 species